UGAGUACGAGAUGCUACGGCAUCGAAGCAGUCUAUGUCAUACUUCCAAGAAAAGCUUGCACUGUCAUAAACAAAGAAUGCCUGUACCAUAACCGACACAGGUGGGUAGGUAGAGUAUACUAAGGGGCGCGAGAUAACUCUCUCUAAGGAACUCGGCAAAAUGACUCCGUAACUUCGGGAGAAGGAGUGCCUUAUUUCUAAGGUUGCAAUAACAAGAUCCAAGCAACUGUUUACCAAAAACACAGGUCUCCGCUAAGUCGUAAGACGAUGUAUGGGGGCUGACGCCUGCCCAGUGCCAGAAGGUUAAAGAAGUUGGUUAGCAUUAGCGAAGCUGAUAACUGAAGCCCUGGUGAACGGCGGCCGUAACUAUAACGGUCCUAAGGUAGCGAAAUUCCUUGUCGGGUAAGUUCCGACCCGCACGAAAGGCGUAAUGAUUUGGAUACUGUCUCGGAGAGGGGCUCGGUGAAAUAGACUUGUCUGUGAAGAUGCGGACUACCUGCACCUGGACAGAAAGACCCUAUGAAGCUUUACUGUAACUUGAGAUUGAAAUUGGACUUUAUUUGCGCAGUAUAGGUGGGAGGCGUUGAGAAUAAUCUUGCGGGAUUGUUGGAGCCAUCAGUGAGAUACCACUCUUGUAAUGUUAGAUUUCUAACUUUGUAUCAUUAUCUGGUCAAAGAACAGUUUCAGGCGGGCAGUUUGACUGGGGCGGUCGCCUCCCAAAGGGUAACGGAGGCGCACAAAGGUUUCCUCUGAACGGGUAGAAAUCGUAUCUAGAGUGUAAAGGCAUAAGGAAGCUUGACUGUGAGACCUACAAGUCGAGCAGGGACGAAAGUCGGUCUUAGUGAUCUGACGGUGCUGAGUGGAAAGGCCGUCACUCAACGGAUAAAAGUUACUCUAGGGAUAACAGGCUGAUCUCCCCCAAGAGUUCACAUCGACGGGGAGGUUUGGCACCUCGAUGUCGGCUCAUCGCAUCCUGGGGCGGUAGUCCGUCCCAAGGGUUGGGCUGUUCGCCCAUGAAAGCGGUACGCGAGCUGGGUUCAGAACGUCGUGAGAGAGUUCGGUCCAUAUCCGGUGUAGGCGUUAGAAUAUUGAGAGGAGCCUUCUCUAGUACGAGAGGACCGAGAAGGACAUACCUCUGGUGUACCAGUUAUCGUGCCAACGGUAAACGCUGGGUAGCUAUGUAUGGAGUGGAUAACCGCUGAAAGCAUCUAAGUGGGAAGCCCACCUCAAGAUAAG
rnacentral:rRNA from 1 species